UCAUAGUGCUCUCCCUUGAGAUGGAUGCCUUCAUUUUCAACGGUGAAGAAUAUAAGAAGCCACUUUGUUAAAUAAAAAAUUUUAGCUCUUCUGCAGUAUAGCUGCACUUGAAACAUAUAUGUUUCAGGGAAGACCCAAAACACCACUAUCAGCUGAAAGUGCCUUGAAUGAAAAGAGACUCAGUUAUACCUCGCCUCUGAGAGAAUUCUACUUCCUGAGACAACAACUCUUUGCAAGAUUCUGGUUGGAUGAGUGUCAGAUCUUUCCUUUGUAAAGGUGAGAUGGGCAGCAGAGAAAGGAGAAGGAGCAGGUAGCAGCAUUGCAGAAGUCUUCCUGUGUUGAUCAGAUUUGGGAACAUUGAAAAUCUGCUAUAGUUUUAUUUCCUUAAAGCUCUCAAUAUCAGUGUUUCUUUUGGGAAAUUUUGGUGUGUACUUCCAUUACCAUUUGAAUAACACCAUUCUAGUUUAUUUCAGUGAAACAGUAAAUUGGCCACUCUGAGUGAAAAUACCAGUGAUAGACAUUUACAAAUGCUACUGAAUUUUAACUUUUAGGUUCUUUAUAUAUAAUCAUGCAAUUCUUCCAUGAAUUAGGAUUGCAACAGAUUGCAAAAUCUCUAGGUAUAUCAUUUGUCCUAAAAUAAAUCUUUAAAAGCAGUUAAUUAUCUAUCAUUCUACCCUGGGUUAAAAUAAAAAUACACUUUCUAGGUCAAUCUUCAUUAAGCUAUUAAUAUCUUUUUCAUUUAUAAGACUUUCAAUUUCCUUUAUUAGCAACUGCAGGUGGCUUAAACAUGAUUGUCAUUGUUUUGAAUAUUAACUGACAUUUGAAUUUUUUGGUGAUUUUGCACUGCCUACAUCCUGACAAACACAGGCACAUGAAAUUUCCCAACAUAUCUGUAUCUACUGAACUGUAUUUAUUUUUUACUUUUCUUCUGGUCAUGGAUAUGUCUGUUUUUUAUGAUUUCUAGCACAAUUCAAGAAUUGUCAUAGGGACACUCAGUAGUAUAUUUAGAAAAACCUGAAUUUUUUCCUGCUUUAUUUUCAUGAAAAUAAAAAUCUUUUCAGUGUAAAUAAAUGAGAAUUCAAUUUACUGAGUUCAGAGGGAGCAUCUGAAUUUUGAGUUCAUCAAUUAUAUAUAGUUCCUUAAAAACGAUAUUUACAACAUGUAUACUCAGAAAAAUGAGAAAUUAUAUCCCAUCUAUGUGUGAUAUAUCAAAGUGCAUAAAUUAUACCCCAUCUAUGUGUGAUAUAUCAAAGUGCAUUAUUCUACUGCCAUGUAUAACUAAUUAAAACAAAUUAAAAAUUAAUUUAAAAACCC
rnacentral:lncRNA from 1 species